AAUCGUACCCCAAACCGACACAGGUGGUCAGGUAGAGAAUACCAAGGCGCUUGAGAGAACUCGGGUGAAGGAACUAGGCAAAAUGGUGCCGUAACUUCGGGAGAAGGCACGCUGGUGUGUAGGUGAAGUCCCUGCGGAUGGAGCUGAGACCAGUCGAAGAUACCAGCUGGCUGCAACUGUUUAUUAAAAACACAGCACUGUGCAAACACGAAAGUGGACGUAUACGGUGUGACGCCUGCCCGGUGCCGGAAGGUUAAUUGAUGGGGUUAUCCGUAAGGAGAAGCUCUUGAUCGAAGCCCCGGUAAACGGCGGCCGUAACUAUAACGGUCCUAAGGUAGCGAAAUUCCUUGUCGGGUAAGUUCCGACCUGCACGAAUGGCGUAAUGAUGGCCAGGCUGUCUCCACCCGAGACUCAGUGAAAUUGAACUCGCUGUGAAGAUGCAGUGUACCCGCGGCAAGACGGAAAGACCCCGUGAACCUUUACUAUAGCUUGACACUGAACAUUGAGCCUUGAUGUGUAGGAUAGGUGGGAGGCUUUGAAGCGUGGACGCCAGUCUGCGUGGAGCCAACCUUGAAAUACCACCCUUUAAUGUUUGAUGUUCUAACGUUGGCCCCUGACCGGGGUUGCGGACAGUGUCUGGUGGGUAGUUUGACUGGGGCGGUCUCCUCCCAAAGCGUAACGGAGGAGCACGAAGGUUAGCUAAUCCUGGUCGGACAUCAGGAGGUUAGUGCAAUGGCAUAAGCUAGCUUGACUGCGAGCGUGACGGCGCGAGCAGGUGCGAAAGCAGGUCAUAGUGAUCCGGUGGUUCUGAAUGGAAGGGCCAUCGCUCAACGGAUAAAAGGUACUCCGGGGAUAACAGGCUGAUACCGCCCAAGAGUUCAUAUCGACGGCGGUGUUUGGCACCUCGAUGUCGGCUCAUCACAUCCUGGGGCUGAAGUAGGUCCCAAGGGUAUGGCUGUUCGCCAUUUAAAGUGGUACGCGAGCUGGGUUUAGAACGUCGUGAGACAGUUCGGUCCCUAUCUGCCGUGGGCGCUGGAGAAUUGAGGGGGGCUGCUCCUAGUACGAGAGGACCGGAGUGGACGCAUCACUGGUGUUCGGGUUGUCAUGCCAAUGGCACUGCCCGGUAGCUAAAUGCGGAAGAGAUAAGUGCUGAAAGCAUCUAAGCACGAAACUUGCCCCGAGAUGAGUUCUCCCUGAGACUUUAAGUCUCCUGAAGGAACGUUGAAGACGACGACGUUGAUAGGCCGGGUGUGUAAGCGCAGCGAUGCGUUGAGCUAACCGGUACUAAUGAACCGUGAGGCUUAACCUUACAACGCCGAAG
rnacentral:rRNA from 2 species